rnacentral:sRNA from 1 species
AUGGUUGUCAUCUUUACUCUUUUGAUUGAGUUAGAAAACCGUACACUGUCAGGUGGAUUGGUGGCCCAGGGUGAAUCAAGAGACUAUGGAUACGAUCAGAGAGAACGGCAAGAGAGGCAGAUCCUACAGGAGGAGUUCCUGGGUCUGACCGACACCCUGGUCUGUAAGAUCUGCUGUGACAACUGCCUUCCUGCCCUGCAGUCACCUGGUUUGCUGUCUGGACCGUGCCCCCGCCAUGAGGAAGUGCCUCCUGUGUGGCGAGGUCAUCAAGGGCACAGUCAAAACCUACUUCGCUUAAGUUCCUAAUAA